UACGUAGGUGGCAAGCGUUAUCCGGAUUUAUUGGGCGUAAAGGGAACGCAGGCGGUCUUUUAAGUCUGAUGUGAAAGCCUUCGGCUUAACCGGAGUAGUGCAUUGGAAACUGGGAGACUUGAGUGCAGAAGAGGAGAGUGGAACUCCAUGUGUAGCGGUGAAAUGCGUAGAUAUAUGGAGGAACACCGGUGGCGAAGGCGGCCUGCUGGACUGCGACUGACGUUGAGGCCCGAAAGCGUGGGGAGCAAACAGG
rnacentral:rRNA from 1 species